GAUGAAGAACGUAGUGAAAUGCGAUAAGUAAUGUGAAUUGCAGAAUUCAGUGAAUCAUCGAAUCUUUGAACGCACAUUGCGCCCGCCAGUAUUCUGGCGGGCAUGCCUGUCUGAGCGUCAUUUCAACCCUCAUGCCCCUAGGGCGUGGUGUUGGGGAUCGGCCAAAGCCCGCGAGGGACGGCCGGCCCCUAAAUCUAGUGGCGGACCCGUCGUGGCCUCCUCUGCGAAGUAGUGAUAUUCCGCAUCGGAGAGCGACGAGCCCCUGCCGUUAAACCCCCAACUUUCCAAGGUUGACCUCAGAUCUGGUAGGAAUACCCGCUGAACUUAAGCAUAUCAAUAAGCGGAGGA
rnacentral:misc_RNA from 1 species